UACAGGGGGUGCAAACGUUGCUCGGAAUCAUUGGGCGUAAAGGGCGCGUAGGCGGCCCGCUAAGUCGAACGUGAAAUCCCCGAGCUCAACUCGGGAACUGCGUCCGAUACUGGCGGGCUUGAAUCCGGGAGAGGGAUGCGGAAUUCCAGGUGUAGCGGUGAAAUGCGUAGAUAUCUGGAGGAACACCGGUGGCGAAGGCGGCAUCCUGGACCGGCAUUGACGCUGAGGCGCGAAAGCUAGGGGAGCAAACGGG
rnacentral:rRNA from 1 species